rnacentral:rRNA from 1 species
GAUGAACGCUGGCGGCGUGCCUAAUACAUGCAAGUCGAGCGAACAGACGAGGAGCUUGCUCCUCUGACGUUAGCGGCGGACGGGUGAGUAACACGUGGAUAACCUACCUAUAAGACUGGGAUAACUUCGGGAAACCGGAGCUAAUACCGGAUAAUAUAUUGAACCGCAUGGUUCAAUAGUGAAAGACGGUUUUGCUGUCACUUAUAGAUGGAUCCGCGCCGCAUUAGCUAGUUGGUAAGGUAACGGCUUACCAAGGCAACGAUGCGUAGCCGACCUGAGAGGGUGAUCGGCCACACUGGAACUGAGACACGGUCCAGACUCCUACGGGAGGCAGCAGUAGGGAAUCUUCCGCAAUGGGCGAAAGCGUGACGGAGCAACGCCGCGUGAGUGAUGAAGGUCUUCGGAUCGUAAAACUCUGUUAUUAGGGAAGAACAAAUGUGUAAGUAACUAUGCACGUCUUGAUGGUACCUAAUCAGAAAGCCACGGCUAACUACGUG